UACGAAGGGGGCUAGCGUUGCUCGGAAUCACUGGGCGUAAAGGGUGCGUAGGCGGGUCUUUAAGUCAGGGGUGAAAUCCUGGAGCUCAACUCCAGAACUGCCUUUGAUACUGGAGCUUGAGUCCGGGAGAGGUGAGUGGAACUGCGAGUGUAGAGGUGAAAUUCGAUAGAUAUUCGCAAGAACACCAGUGGCGAAGGCGGCUCACUGGCCCGGUACGUGACGCUGAGGUGCGAAAGCGUGGGGAGCAAACAGG
rnacentral:rRNA from 1 species